GAGUAAAACCCCCCUUCUAAAGAAAGCCUCCAUCCUGCUUCAAAUUCAAGGGGCUUCUAGGCCAUUUGCACUUCGUUUACACCUCAUUAAACUGCCCACAUUAUAUGCCUGGGUCCCAGGUGACUGUGGGAAAAGAUCAAGGUUUCCUGCAACCUCACUGGGCAUUUUCAGAAUGAUCUGUACAAGCGUUGACUGAAUGAUUGAUUCCAAGUUCCCCCUUCCUAGGAUUUCAGACCUCCUCUUGACAAGUGAUGAAUGGGCCAUCUUAAUCUUGUUUGGAUCAGAAAGGACCAUACAACUGAGCUUCAGACAAGACUAAAAAUAUCAAAAGUAGCACUCUGCAAUUUUAUGUGCAUGUGGCUUGAAGCUCUGACACCAACACAACAGAUUCCCAAAUGUGGUACUCAUUCUACCUGGAUAUACCAGAGGAUUUUGUGGGAAUAAAAGGAUGACUGUUUUUUCACUUGAAUAAUUAGACAUUCAACAGCUCCUGCUUGAGCAGCACCACUGUGCCAGGCUCUGGCAACAUUGAAGAUAAAGGAUGUGUCUCUGUCCUCAAAAGGAUCGAUUCCAGCAGGGAGAACCUACAUGUGAAUAAGUCACUCCAUGCAAGGUGUAGCUGGGAUUACAGGUGUGCACCAGCACUCAGCGACACACGGUGCUGCAGAAACCCUAAGAUUUAACUCCAACUUCUGGAGAAGAGCUCACUGCAAGACAGAUGAGAAAGAGGUUGUUUUAAGAUGAAGAAAAGGAAUGAUACUUGAUUCAUCAUCUUAUACAUGAUUCACAAGAAAAAUAUAAUGUCUUUAUUUUUCAGAGGGUUUUUUAAAAUUAAGAGAUGGGAUCUUGCUACGUUGCCCAGGCUGUAGUGCUGUGGCUAUUCACAGGCAUGGUCAUAGCUCACUACCGCCUUGAACUCCUGGGCUCAAGCCAUCCUCUUACCUCAGCCUCCCAUGUAGCAGGGACUACAGGUGCCUGUGACCACAUCUAGCUUUCCAGUGGGUUUUAAAAUGACCUAAGUGUUUGAGGAGAGGAACAGGCUGGCACUGAGAGGCAUGACUAAAUUGUGAGCCCUCCUUGAGGACUGGAGCUGUGUCUUAUAUUCCCAGCAUAAAGCCCAGUGUGAAGCAGCACACUCUGCAUAGUGGUCAAAGCAGCUGAUAAAUAUAAGGUCAAUAUCAGGACACUCUGACAGCCUCACACAGCCAACAAACACUGACUUGCCAAGUCCUGUGCAGGGCACUGGGGGUGGGAGGGUAUGGGAGGAUGCACACUAGCUAGAAGUCAAGAAGUCAGACUGCAAACAGUCGCUCGAUAGCGGGUUGGCGGAAGUGUAACAGUGUGAUGGUGCCUCUACCUGGGCAGAGAGCAACAGGCGGCCCUGCACAGAAGACAACAUCUGCCAGUGAUGAAACCAGCUCCACCCCUGCCAACCGUGGCCUCCUCUACAGCACAUCCCUGGGGCCACCAUCCGAGGCCCAGAGGAGCCAGGAGCUAAUUCCAUGGCUUUGCUCUACUUGGUAUUUCUGGGUUCCUACAUUUCACACCUGUCCCAACACUUUGAGCUCCUCUAGAGCAAGGACCAAUUCUUUAUCUCCAAAUCUCUGGAACAUAGAGGAACUGAGAAUGGGUGCUGAAUGAAUGAAAGAUUGAAACAGUAUUACAUAUCUAAUAGAAUUGCUCCAGUGACCUUGUUGUAUUCUCAAGAGUUACAAGGGGGCCGAGCACGGUGGUUCAUGCCUGUAAUCCCAGCACUUUGGGAGGCUGAGGAGGGCAGAUCACUUGAGGUCAGGAGUUCAAGGCCACCCUGACCAAUAUGGUGAAACCUCGUCUCUACUAAAAAUACAAACAUUAGCUGGGCGUGGUAGCGCACACCUGUAAUCCCAGCUACUAGGGAGGCUGAGGCAGGAGAAUUGCUUGAAUCCAGGGGGUGGAGGUUGCAGUGAAAUGAGAUCGUGCCACUGCACUCCAGCCUGGGCAACACAGUGAGACCCCAUCUCAAAAAGAAAAAAGUUACAAGGGGCUGUAAUUUAGAUCUCACUCAUUUAAUUCAUUUGAGCAUUUCUACUAGACUCCUCUACACUAAAAAAAAAAAAAAAAUUGUGGCCGGGCAUGGUAUAAUCCAAGCACUUUGGGAGGAUGAGGUGGGAGGAUCACUUGAGGCUAGGAGUUCGAGACCAACCUAAGUAACGUGGCAAGACACUGUCUCUAUUUAAAAUU